CACAACUACUAUCAUUGGAUUUUUGGGCCUAUUAUAUUUUCAAGCUUAUACUGAUAUUGCAGAAUUUGCUCGUCCAUUUAAUAGAAGAAAACAUUGAAAGUUUACAUUAUUAGAUGCCAAAAUGUACCUCAGAGAAGAGAAAGCCAUCAGAGAAUACAGCCUCGAUAUUGGCAGGUGCAACAUAGAACUGAAAACUCAAAAUGGAGGACAGAGACAACAUGGAUACUAGUGAAGUUGCAAUACACUGCAGAUUGCUGAUUCACCAAAACAAAUUCAGUGUGCAGCUCAUAACUGGAAUCCCUAAAGCUGUUUCCCAAGUUCCCAAAAUGCCAAUGACACAUUCAGAGAAAGACACUCCCCGGAAAACCAACUUCAAUUUCAUGGUGACACUGACUCUGAAUGGGAACCCCCAGAGCCAAGGUGU
ensembl:lncRNA